GGCAGCAGCCACUCGUCCGCCCUGCGCGACCUUCCUCGGGGUGGCGCGGCCGACGGGAGCCGGAAGCGGAACCGGGAAGGAGGAACAUUAAUUAAAUCUCCCAAAAGACUGUUUAGAAUACACAACUCAAGGUUGGUUACGCAGAACCUAUUCCAGAGGCUUCACAAGGAUUUGCACACUGUUCACAGCUAUACAUAUUUUCACCCUGACUGAG